GAAUGAGGUGAGUAAACAAACAGAUACAGACUUAUUCCUUUAUUUUUGGCUAAAAGAGGCCCACAUAAAUAUAUAUAUAUAUAUAUAUAUAUUUUUUUUUUUUUAAACCCUUACCUUCUAUCUUAGAAUCAAUACUGUGUAAGGGCUAGGCAAUGGGUAUUAAGUGACUUGCCCAGGGUCACACAACUAGGAAGUAGCCAGAUUUCAACCUAGGACCUCUUGUCUCUAGGUCUUGCUCUCAAUCCACUGAGCCACCCAGAUGCUCCCCCUCCACCCCUCAUAUUCUUAAAGAACCUCUUAAACUCCAGAACUAUUGGCUAUCAUUGUUGGAUCAAAAUAAAAAUGGUAAUGACACUGUAUCUGGUAUGCAUUGUUUUUAUUAGAGUGGGCCAGGGUUUGAUUUGGGAAGGUGUGAAUUUAAAGUGUCUGACCUGUCCCUGAGGCAAGUAGGUGACAACUUGGCAUAAUAUCUGGAAGACCUGAGUUUAAAUAUAACUUCAUAUACUUACUAGCUGUGUGACCCUGAGCAAAUCACUUAACCUCCAUCUAGCUCAAUUUCCUCAACUGUAAAAUGAAGAUAAUAGCUCCUACCCUACUGGGUUGUUUUGAGAAUCAAAUGAGAUCAUAUUUAUAAAGCACAUAGCAGAGUGUCUUAUAUUUAUAUGCUUAAUAAAGUGUUUAUUCCAUUCUUCUCUUCUUGUUCUUAGGUGGUUUAUCUGUCUGAGCACAAUUCUCUCUCUCUCUUUUUUUCUGGCAGUCUAAAGCAGAGAAAAUAUAAGAACACAGUUGUACCAGAAAAAUUCCCCAGAGAGAGUGGUGGAAGUAUUUCUACUGCUGUGUAGUUUGAGUAGAGUCUAUCAUCUUGAAUUUCAUGUCCAGAUUCUUUGACUACAACCCUGAACUGUUCAUGAGUUCCUGGGAAAGACUAGCAAGGAACAAUAAAGUGGAGGAAUUCCAUGGAGACUGGAACAACCUCCAGGAAGUGAUGCAGAGCAAGAGGAGCAGAACCAGGAGAACAUUGUACACAGAGACUGAUACACUGUGGUAUAAUCGAACGUAAUGGACUUCUCCAUUAGUGGCGGUGUAAUGUCCCUGAACAAUCUGCAGGGAGAAAAACACUAUCCACAAGCAGAGGACAAACUGUGGGAGUGGAAACACCGAGGAAAAGCAACUGCUUGACUACAGAGGUUGAGGGGACAUGUCUGAGGAGAGACGCUAAACAAACACUC
rnacentral:lncRNA from 1 species